rnacentral:rRNA from 1 species
UACGUAGGGCGCAAGCGUUAUCCGGAAUUAUUGGGCGUAAAGAGCUCGUAGGCGGCCUGUUGCGUCCGCUGUGAAAGCCCGGGGCUUAACCCCGGGUCUGCAGUGGAUACGGGCAGGCUAGAGGUAGGUAGGGGAGAAUGGAAUUCCCGGUGUAGCGGUGAAAUGCGCAGAUAUCGGGAGGAACACCGGUGGCGAAGGCGGUUCUCUGGGCCUUACCUGACGCUGAGGAGCGAAAGCGUGGGGAGCGAACAGG